AUUGAACGCUGGCGGCAUGCCUUACACAUGCAAGUCGAACGGCAGCACGGGCUUCGGUCUGGUGGCGAGUGGCGAACGGGUGAGUAAUGUAUCGGAACGUACCCUUCAGUGGGGGAUAACUAUCCGAAAGGAUAGCUAAUACCGCAUAUUCUCUGAGGAGGAAAGCGGGGGAUCGCAAGACCUCGCGCUGAUGGAGCGGCCGAUAUCAGAUUAGCUAGUUGGUGGGGUAAAGGCCUACCAAGGCGACGAUCUGUAGCGGGUCUGAGAGGAUGAUCCGCCACACUGGGACUGAGACACGGCCCAGACUCCUACGGGAGGCAGCAGGGGGGAAUUUUGGACAAUGGGGGCAACCCUGAUCCAGCCAUGCCGCGUGAGUGAAGAAGGCCUUCGGGUUGUAAAGCUCUUUCGGCCGGGAAGAAAUCGCGUGAGUUAAUACCUUGCGUGGAUGACGGUACCGGAAUAAGAAGCACCGGCUAACUACGUGCCAGCAGCCGCCGUAAUAC
rnacentral:rRNA from 1 species